rnacentral:rRNA from 1 species
UAGGGAAUAUUGGACAAUGGGGGCAACCCUGAUCCAGCCAUGCCGCGUGAGUGAAGAAGGCCCUCGGGUUGUAAAGCUCUUUUGUCCGGAAAGAAAAGCAUUCGGUGAAUACCCGGAUGUUCUGCCGGUACCGGAAGAAUAAGCACCGGCUAACUUCGUGCCAGCAGCCGCGGUAAUACGAAGGGUGCAAGCGUUACUCGGAAUUACUGGGCGUAAAGCGUGCGUAGGUGGUUGUUUAAGUCUGAUGUGAAAGCCCUGGGCUCAACCUGGGAAUGGCAUUGGAAACUGGGCAGCUAGAGUGCGGUAGAGGGUAGUGGAAUUCCCGGUGUAGCAGUGAAAUGCGUAGAGAUCGGGAGGAACAUCUGUGGCGAAGGCGACUGCCUGGACCAGCACUGACACUGAGGCACGAAAGCGUGGGGAGCAAACA